CUACGGGGGGCAGCAGUGGGGAAUAUUGGACAAUGGGGGAAACCCUGAUCCAGCAAUGCCGCGUGUGUGAAGAAGGCCUGCGGGUUGUAAAGCACUUUCGGUUGGGAGGACUGCUUCUAGCACUAAUAUUGUUGGAAGUUGACGUUACCUUCAGAAGAAGCACCGGCUAACUCCGUGCCAGCAGCCGCGGUAAUACGGAGGGUGCAAGCGUUAAUCGGAAUUACUGGGCGUAAAGCGCGCGUAGGCGGCUAGAUCAGUCGGGUGUGAAAGCCCCGGGCUUAACCUGGGAACUGCAUCCGAUACUGUCUAGCUUGAGUACAGGAGAGGAGAGUGGAAUUCCACAUGUAGCGGUGAAAUGCGUAGAUAUGUGGAGGAACACCAAUGGCGAAGGCGGCUUUCUGGACCAAUACUGACGCUGAGAUGCGAAAGCGUGGGGAGCAAACAGGAUUAGAUACCCUCGUAGUC
rnacentral:rRNA from 1 species